GUGGCCAAAUACAUAAAGAUAUACAUUUUUAAAACAAAUAAUAAAGACUGAGAGGAACCCCCUCCCUCCCAGCCUCUGGUGGUUUGUUAGGAAUCCUGGAUGUGUUUUGCUCUAUCUUCACGUUAACUCGUUGUUUUCCUUCUGUGGGUUCAAAUUCCCACUUUAUAUAAGAACUGUCACAUUGAAUUGAGGCCCAGCCUGUUCCAGUAUAACCUCAUCUUAUCACUCCUGGAGUGAACCUUUUACCAAAUAAGGUCACAUUCUUAGCUCCUGGAGGUGAAGACUGAACACACAGAUUUGAGGAGGGAUGUGAUUCAGCGUCCAACAAGCUUCUCGCCAAAGGUUUUGUUGAAAGAUUAUUCAGCCAUCUGAUCAAGUUUGUGUGACAUGCCCUAGUGAUGCAAGUGUUCACAGAAGCCAAGCUUACUAACCAUCACUUACUACCAGUAACCGUGCACCAGGAGGAGCAGAGCACGGCGUGGCGGAGGGGAGGAAACACGUCUCCUGACAGCAACUAGGUUUGCUGCUCAACUGGCUGCCACUAAGGACAUUUGCUGCGUCAACUGUGAAGAAGGUUUAUUAGAAAGUGAUGCUGGCUCUUUGCAGACACAAGUUGCAACUUUGUAGGCAAAUAAAAAGAUGCAUCGAGCUUAAACGUUAUUUAU
rnacentral:lncRNA from 1 species